rnacentral:lncRNA from 1 species
AUUUUAGGAAGGAGUAAGAUUUCAUAUAUAUAUGUAGACAAAAGUGUGAAAAAUACAAUCUGCUUUAUACUAUCUUCUGUUAUUUGAAACAGAUAUUCAAAUAAAAUGAUUGCUGCAAGCAUGUCAAAAAAAAAAAGGUGCAAACCUUAAAAUAUUGCCUGAGAAUCAAAUUUCAUGAGAGGGCAAUGUGUGAGCUUUCUUGGAUUUUUGUCAUAAUUCACAAAAAAUAUUACUACCUACUUAUGAAAAGUGAAACAGAAUUUUUACAUUUCUUAUUCACAUUUUCUUUUUACUUAUGUUUUCACUCAAAAAAUAAUAAUAUGGUUUCUUUUUCCAUAUAAAAAGAAAGUUGUACCCUAGAACAAUUUUGCAAAAUAUCUGCUCUAGGGGUCAAAACAGGUGAAGCUUUGUGAAUGAUUUUACACUCUCCUGAAUGUCAUUUUAUAUAAUUUCUUUUCAAAAUCAAAAGUCAAACAGGAAAAUUACUCCUAUCCACUGGCCUAUGCACUCCACCAGCAUUGAUUUCUUUUUGCAAAGGAAAGCAAGUGUGCCUUAUAACUUGCAUGCUCUGAAAAUCAUUUAUACAAGACCAAAAUAACUCGCAAGUUGUUACACUGUAGUUUAAAUGCUUAUUUCUAAAUCACAUAGAUAAGAUGUAUUUAAACAAUAGAACUAUGAAAUACAUAUUUCAUGCAGUUUUCUCUCUGACAGCAAUACUAGAUACUUUCCUGUAUUUCGCAUAAUCUCUUUAUCUUUACUUAUGUUGGUCAUUAAAAGAAUCAUCAUUCUGACCCUCCAUUCCUUCAUUCCCCUGAACACCGCCAUACCUCACUGUAAAGGCAUGUUUC